rnacentral:lncRNA from 1 species
UGCCCAUUGGAUGAGAUGGUUGCACGCUGCGAUUGUUAGCCGACUACAACCGGUAAAAGAUUUAUUCUGAUAUAUCAGUUAUCUAAAUUCUCUAAAUGAAUAAAAUGACUCAAGAUUUCGAAAAGAAAGAAAGGAUCGUUUACAAACUCGUCCUAACCGGCGGUAAGAAUUUCUUUUAUUAUGAAUACGGUAUUGCUAAAAAAAGCGAAAAAAAGAAUGCAGAGAACACCUUACGUAGGUUAUCGGGUAUUAGCCAUUGUUUAAGUACCGCUAUCAACAGAAUUGUAUUUUCAGCAUAGGAACAGCUGCAGUAGCGUUUAAAUAAGUCGGAAUUUUUGAUAUUUCGGAAGUUUUCUAUAUAUGUAUAUAUUUUCUAGAUAGAAACAUUAUAUGCCACGUUCCAUUUUCAUUUUCUGGAAAGGAGGAAAUGAUACUUAAUUUCGGUGAUUAAGUUUUUUAAAUUAAAAAAAAAAAAAAAAAACUAAAAUUUAU